CCUCGCUGGGCUCCUCCCCCGGCACCACCUCCACCGGCGAGAGCGGGAUCGCCAGCCUGGAGUCCCUGGGCUCCCCCGUGGCCACGCUGCCCCCCAGGAGGAGAGUGAUGUCAGACACUUUCCCAGCACUUGGCAGCAAAUGCCAUCCUGCAGAAGCAUCUCCAGCCAGGCCCAGGGAGGCAGAGGGGGCAGAGCAGCCCCCUGGCACAGGCCCUGCAGAGUCAGUGCCUGGUUUUGCACCAAAGGAUGGUCUGGGUUUCUCAUCUGGAGACGUUGCUCUGGUUGGCACAGGUGUUUUUGGGAGCCCUCCUGGCCCAGCUGCCAGCCAGCCCGUGCCCUGUGUGGCCAAUGGGGAUGCCCAGGGUGCCAGGGAGGGAGCAGAGGCUGCCCCAGGGAGAAGCUUCCAGAACAGCCCUUCCCAUUCCUGUUGUCAUGCAGGGAAGGAAGGAGAGAUAAAAGUGACCUUGUCAAAAUCUGCUCAGGAGAAGCUGAGGAGGAGGAGGAAAGAAGACAAAGAGCACAACCAUAAAGAGCAGCAGGAAGGCAAAGACUUGGAAGGGAAGGAAGAAUUCCCUUGGGAAAGGAUUAGACUGAGUAUGAGUGAACCAGAGAAACUCACAGCAGAAAGGUUUAGUCUCUGUGGGGAUUUACUGACAUCACCAAGAAAUGGAUCUUUGUCCUUAGAAAAUGUGGCCUUGAACCCUUCCCUGAAAAGAACCUCCAGUUUGAAGAGGUCCAAGUGUUCAUCCUUGCUGGAUUCUGGUAAGCUGGGACAGUAAACUCUUAAAAUAUUUGGGUAGGUGGAGUGGGACAGUUUCAAAAUACAGUUUAUUUGUGCAGGGGACAGUCCUGAGGUGCUCUGGAAGAUCAGUGCUGUGGGGCUGGAGGGGAUUUAAUUCCUCAGUGGGGAUUCCAUUGAUCAUUUUUCAUCUAUGAGGGAGUUCAUGAAACAUCAGAGGCUUUUAGUUGGAUCAGGAUCUGAAAUGAUACAAUGCAUUAACAGCAAACUGACUACCCCUGUCCCCAAACCCUUCUGGGUACAUUUUGGCACUGAAUUGCCUUUUAAAUAGACAAUAGGAAAAUGUCAAGAGUAGAAGCUCCUACUGAUGGUUCUCAAAGGUGCCAGGGUUUGUCUGGUGUCUCUUCAAGGUUUAUGAGUUAUUAGCACACUGUGUAUCUGUUUUUACACUAAACAACCCCUACCUUUGUGUUGGUGACUCUUAAAAGUGAAGGUUGUGUGCAAAAUUGAAUUUACAUGAAUGAAACUCUGAUUGACUGGGGCUGCCCCUGGAUCCCUGGGAGUGUCCAAGGCCAGGGCUUGGCCUGCCAUGGUGGUGAUGCCCAGAACAGAGGCUGGGCAGAGUGAAAGGAUAAAGCAGGGAUUUGUUAAAAGGAAAUAAUUCCCUCACAGGACACGCCUUGGGCAGUGAUGCUGAUGCCUCCCUGGAGCAGAGCUGGGCACAGUUAAAGGAUAAAGCAGGGAUUUGUUCAA
rnacentral:lncRNA from 1 species